GCCCCUAUAGCUCAGAGGAUAGAGCGCCGGUUUCCUAAACCGGGCGUCGCAGGUUCGAUUCCUGCUAGGGGCACCA
rnacentral:tRNA from 1 species